UUCACGUUUCCCAAGCUGCGAUAUCUAUAAAUGGGGGCUGUCUGCCAGCAUGUUGCAAUCAAUCUUGAGAGAUUUUAGUGAUUGUGCUCCCAAACCACCAAAAGCUGCAGAGCCAAGCUUCCCCUCUCCAAAAUCCUUGCAUGUCCUGUUUACUGGAGAAUUCACUAGUGGAGGAUCAGUGCCCAGACAGUCAGCAGAAAGUGGGUCAUAGUCAGCCAAGUCAUGGCAUGUGCAGCCAGACUUGCCGGCUGAGUCACAGCUCCCAUGGCAAGAUGAAUUUUGCAAGGGGAACAUAUCUUUUGAGGUUGAUGCCUUCCAUUCAUGACUUCACAGGUGGCAUUCCAGAGUACCAUGAUGUUAACAUGAGAAGUAACUAACUGAGAGAAUUGAGUUCAGUAUCAGCAAGCUCAUGUUUGUAUGGGUGGAGAACCAUCUAAAUGUUUAGAAACCUAUAAAUGAAAAAGCUGGAAACCACUGAACUUGGCUGUGUGGAAUUCUGCAGUGGACUGAGUAGUCAUCUGAUCUACAAAACAAUGCAGGAGGAAAAACAAAAACAAAAACAAUCCAACAAAAAACCCAAACCAAAACCCUCACCAGAUACAAAGCCCUCAUUCAUUAUUCUUCAGUGACUAAUAUUUCUUCAAGAACUAAUUUCUUCGCCUCAAAAUUAUGUGGUUUGUUGUUUUAUUGCUUUGCAAGCCAUCUUCAGAUAUUAAUAAAUGGCUUUGAUAUUGUUUGCGUUUGUAGAAU
rnacentral:lncRNA from 1 species